GACGAACGCUGGCGGCGUGCCUAAUACAUGCAAGUCGAGCGGACCGGAUUGGGGCUUGCCUUGAUUCGGUCAGCGGCGGACGGGUGAGUAACACGUGGGCAACCUGCCCGCAAGACCGGGAUAACUCCGGGAAACCGGAGCUAAUACCGGAUAACACCGAAGACCGCAUGGUCUUCGGUUGAAAGGCGGCCUUUGGGCUGUCACUUGCGGAUGGGCCCGCGGCGCAUUAGCUAGUUGGUGAGGUAACGGCUCACCAAGGCGACGAUGCGUAGCCGGCCUGAGAGGGUGACCGGCCACGCUGGGACUGAGACACGGCCCAGACUCCUACGGGAGGCAGCAGUAGGGAAUCUUCCGCAAUGGGCGAAAGCCUGACGGAGCGACGCCGCGUGAGCGAAGAAGGCCUUCGAGUCGUAAAGCUCUGUUGUGAGGGACGAAGGAGCGUCGUUCGAAGAGGGCGGCGCGGUGACGGUACCUCACGAGAAAGCCCCGGCUAACUACGUG
rnacentral:rRNA from 1 species